rnacentral:tRNA from 1 species
GAGGGCAUAGCUCAGUGGUAGAGUGCAUGCUUAGCAUGCACAAGGUCCUGGGUUCAAUCCUCAGUACCUCCA